rnacentral:rRNA from 1 species
GAUGAACGCUGGCGGCGUGCCUAAUACAUGCAAGUCGAGCGAACGGACGAGAAGCUUGCUUUUCUGAUGUUAGCGGCGGACGGGUGAGUAACACGUGGAUAACCUACCUAUAAGACUGGGAUAACUUCGGGAAACCGGAGCUAAUACCGGAUAAUAUUUUGAACCGCAUGGUUCAAAAGUGAAAGACGGUCUUGCUGUCACUUAUAGAUGGAUCCGCGCUGCAUUAGCUAGUUGGUAAGGUAACGGCUUACCAAGGCAACGAUGCAUAGCCGACCUGAGAGGGUGAUCGGCCACACUGGAACUGAGACACGGUCCAGACUCCUACGGGAGGCAGCAGUAGGGAAUCUUCCGCAAUGGGCGAAAGCAUGACGGAGCAACGCCGCGUGAGUGAUGAAGGUCUUCGGAUCGUAAAACUCUGUUAUUAGGGAAGAACAUAUGUGUAAGUAACUGUGCACAUCUUGACGGUACCUAAUCAGAAAGCCACGGCUAACUACGUG